GGUGUCGUGGUAUAGAGGUUCAUACACUUGACUCUUAUUCCAAGGGUCGUUAGUUCGAAUCCAGCCCGGCACUA
rnacentral:tRNA from 1 species